rnacentral:rRNA from 1 species
GUCGAGGGGCAGCAUUUUAGUUUGCUUGCAAACUGAAGAUGGCGACCGGCGCACGGGUGAGUAACACGUAUCCAACCUGCCGAUAACUCCGGGAUAGCCUUUCGAAAGAAAGAUUAAUACCGGAUGGCAUACGAAGUAUCGCAUGAUAUUUUUAUUAAAGAAUUUCGGUUAUCGAUGGGGAUGCGUUCCAUUAGUUUGUUGGCGGGGUAACGGCCCACCAAGACUACGAUGGAUAGGGGUUCUGAGAGGAAGGUCCCCCACAUUGGAACUGAGACACGGUCCAAACUCCUACGGGAGGCAGCAGUGAGGAAUAUUGGUCAAUGGGCGAGAGCCUGAACCAGCCAAGUAGCGUGAAGGAUGAAGGCUCUAUGGGUCGUAAACUUCUUUUAUAUGGGAAUAAAGUUUUCCACGUGUGGAAUUUUGUAUGUACCAUAUGAAUAAGGAUCGGCUAACUCCGUGCCAGCAGCCGCGGUAAUACGGAGGAUCCGAGCGUUAUCCGGAUUUAUUGGGUUUAAAGGGAGCGUAGGUGGAUUGUUAAGUCAGUUGUGAAAGUUUGCGGCUCAACCGUAAAAUUGCAGUUGCAAACUGGCAGUCUUGAGUACAGUAGAGGUGGGCGGAAUUCGUGGUGUAGCGGUGAAAUGCGUUAGAUAUCACGAAGAACUCCGAUUGCGAAGGCAGCUCACUAGACUGUUACUGACACU